rnacentral:tRNA from 1 species
GCUUCCUUGGCUCAGUUGGUAGAGCGUUGGUCUCAUAUUUUAUGAGUAAUCGUUGCAAGGUUACCCUAAUCCAAAGGUCGUCAGUUCGAACCUGACAGGGAGCA